CUCUGCUGGUCCCUGCCUGUGUAAACACCAUGACUCUGGGUUCUGCUCAGCAGACUGAAGGGAACACAACUAUGAUGAUUCUCUAUGCUGUACUUGGAGAAGGCUGGUUAGUCAUAAGUUUUAAAGCAGGGAGACCAUGAUGAUGACAUUUGGAAGCAUCUCAGGAGACAAGAAUAAAACGCCAUUUUUUUUCCCACUUCGCUAACAACUCAGUGUUCUGAAAAGUCUGGAAUGUGCUAUGAAAAGUUUGUGUGCUUAGUGAAAUGUUGUACAAUUGGCCAAUCCACUAAGUCUUGGGAAAUGUCUUAGGAGCUUGGCAAGAAGAAGUUCUCAAGAGAGCCUGAAUGCUGCCAGUUUCCAAUUGGCCAAGACACAUUACAAGGACAACUGUCUCUCUGAGCAACCUGGCAUUUCCACUCCAAUUGGAAUCUGCAAGGGGAAGAUGCGCAGGGGAAGAAGAUUAAACAAACCUUUUCAGAUUUCUGGUCCAGCCUACUCAACAUGAAGAUGACAAGAAGGAAGACCUUUAUGAUGAUCCACUUUUGCUUAAACACUCCUGCUCCCCCUUUGCCUUCUGCCAUGAGUAAAAUCUUCCUGAAGGCUCACCAGAAGCCAAGCAGAUGCUAGUGCCAUGCUUGUACAGGCUGCAAAACUGUGAGCCAAA
rnacentral:lncRNA from 1 species